AAUUAAACCGGGGCCCUGGCGAGGGGCCUCCUCCCGCAGCUUCCGACUGCAGACGCUCUGAGUCUGGGUGUGUGGAAAGCACGUUCCGGGGGAGAGAGUGACAUUAACUUGUCCUCAUGGGCUGGCUCAGGCUCUGCACUUAUUAGCACCAGCUCCUUCCCUCUCUGGAGCGCGUCUGGUCCUCACUCACUCGAGUCUCUGAGCAUAGUUGGCAAGGUCAGAGCGUCCACUGCUGCCCCGAGAGCCGACGGUGCAGACAGGGCGGGUGCCCGUCACACCCACGCUUCUUCUGAAAGACUGCAGCCAACAGGACGCAGGGCCGGCUAGCAACUCACCAGGAACAGGUCCCCGAGCCUGUGCGUGCGCACGGGCCGUGGACAUGGCAACCUUGACCGCUGACCAACACCCUGAAGAUGUGGGCGCAGGAAGGAUGAGGCAUGGGCGUGGCUGCUGAGACUCAGCUUGGUGGAUGCGAGCAGCUCUGUUCACUGUCAGAGGAGCAAGGACUGAACCGGCUUCAAUUGCCCCAGGGCUUUCCCACGACCUGGGGAACCUGGACAAACGUGACAAACAGAACAGAGAAGACAGAGACGAACAGAAACGCACAACAGAAGAGCCGCUGAGACGCCUGUGCAAGGGUAAGAUGCCUGUGAUGGGAGACCAGGACCUACACCCAGACUGGCUGGGCGCUGUCCCUCCAGCCCCACACCCAGGGCAGCAAAGUCCACAUCGGUGGGCCUGACACUGAGGCUGUAGGACCCAGGCCCCGCCGUGGACACCCGGGGAUGAGAAGAAGUCACAAUGGAUGAACAGCAGCAGAGCAAGCAGGUGGCUGUCCCCCUGCGGGCCCUGCCUUCCUGCUCAGAGACUGGGGGGUGGACAGCUGUCCCCCUGUUGGAGCUGCCUGCCUGCUCAGACUCCUGCUCCAGCUCACGGUGGAGUUGGGGGUGAGGGGCAGAGGAAACUGCACCCAGGAGGGGCGACGGUGCUUCAGGGCUGCAGAGAAGGUGCCCAGGCUGGGAGGCGGUUCUGUGCUGCCCCCCCAGGAAGGACAAUCAGUCAGUCUCCAGCCCUCAACUGGCCAGUGUGUGGAUACAGACCACCUUGUCCUCCCCAUGGCCAGAAGGCAGAGUCCUCCCUUUACAGGUCCAGGAGCUCCCAGAAAGACCAGUGAAGUCCAGCAGAUGCUUCCUGUGUUCCCAGGCUUUCAUGCACGGUCCUCCUGAUUCAGGGACUGAAGGUGCUCCAGUUACUUUAUCCUCAACUGUAGAUGAAGAAGCGGACUCUUUGUCUUUGGGCAAAGGACACAGAUGGUAGAUGGCCGAGCUGGGAUCUAAGCCUCCACCAGCCUCACUCCACAGCUGAGACUUCUCAUCUGUCUCUCCUGCUGUCUGUGGGCAUUCAGCAAGUGUGGCCACCUCCGAGUCCAGUUCUCGAGGCACAGGAGGCUCGGCCUGGGAGCUGAGGCAGAAUCGGCAUCAGUGUCCACUGGCACCUCUGCCAUUGCUGAGGUUGUUCUGUAAUUCUGGUCCUGUUGGCUGGUUGGAAGGUGGCAUUUCACAGCUCACUCCAUCCGAGGGCCUGAUGAGGCUUUGUUUACUUCCUUGCAUCUAUAACCAUCUUUAAAGCCACCAGGUGCCUUGGGACCAUGAUUCCUUUACAUGGAUCAUAAUUUCAGUCCGAAAAUGGCAUUUCUGAGAAAUAUUUUUUAGGAACCCAAGAAACUCCAAGGCUUGCUUGGAGGCAGUAAAUACAGCGCCACCUCCGAUCAUCAGGCAGCAGACCCUGGAGGCUGGGGACCUCUGCUCUAGAAGGUCAUCAGCGCUGCCUCCUCAGACAAAGCCCGAAUUCCUCCGGCACAUCCAUGGGCUGACUUUUACUGAAUACAUGUCCGAGGACUAGACUGAGUCCAGCUGGUUCGUCUCCUGGAGGAGCUCACUUCCACGUCAUCCAGACAGCUAAGCCACCUGCCCGCUGGCUGGGGGAGGGUCCCCAGGCUCAGACAGGCCGCCUUGGAGGAGGGCCUGGCUGCUUCAGAGCAAGGCUGUUUGUAGGAUUUUGACGACUUCUCCCUCGUGACAGUUCACGGAGGGUCCGGGCACCGUGCGUCACCCAGCAGCGACACAGGGUUCGCUCUGAGUAACGUGCGCACCCUCUCCACUGUUCUCUCACAUGAAAGAAGGAAAGUGAAAGAAAGUGAAGUCGCUCAGUUGUGUCCAACUCUGCGAUCCCGUGGAUUGUAGCCUACCAGGAUCCUCUGUCCAUGGGAUUCUCCAGGUAAUGAAAGAGAAAACGUCAGGCUGGAGGCUGACCCAGAUGGUGCUGUGGAUGGGACCCCCUCCUGGUUGAACAACCCAGGUCAGAGCUGUCUACUGGCCUGGGCAGAGGUCCAGCUGGGCCCGUGGACCUCUUAAAUCACACACUUAAUGUUGUGUGUGGGGUGAACACAGUGUCCUUCGGCUCUCGGGGGGGCCCUUGGAUUUCAUCAAAUUCUCAGUGAUGUCCAACCCCUUCCUCUAAAUGGUAAGACCACUGACAUGGAAACUGCUUAUCAGAUCCUCAGGGAAACAUUGCGGUGAGAAACGCAUGGAACGCGCAAUCAAACGUGAUGCGGAACGUUUGGAGCUGCAGGCAGAAUCCGGGCGCAUGUCCCUAGAUGGAGAGAUGGGCCAUCCCGUGACUGUUUCCAGUCUCACAGGCAACUAGAUGGUUAUUGUUUGCCAAUCAGACUCAGAGAAAAUAGUACUGAUACUCAGGACUGGGGAGAGUAUAGGGGCUUCAUAUAACCUACAGUUGCUGCUUGCUGUUUAGUCACUAAGCCAUGUCUGAUUCUUUUCGACCCCAUGGACUGCAGCCCGCCAGGCUCCUCUGUCCUUGGGAUUCCCCAGGCAAGAAUACUGGAGUGGGUUGCCAUUUCCUCCUCCAGGGAAUCUUCCCAACCCAGGGAUGGAACCUGCCUCUCCUGCGCUUGGCAUUUGGAUUCUUGACCUCUGAGCCACCCGGGAAGCCCCAUAAUCUACUAACAGAAGUGUAAUUUGAUACAUAGGAGGAUAAUUCAGUGAUUGUAUCAGGAGUCGUGAGCACCUUAAACCUAGCAAUCCCACCUUACGUCAACAGAGAGAUGGACAGGAUAUUCGCCUGGGCUGUGUUCAGAGGCGAAAAAGUGAAGCCCACCUCAGUGCCUGGCCACAGGGGUUGAUCAAGCCAUGGCCCAUCCACACCAGGGCAUACUAUACGGUGGGCAGGAAGGACGGGCUAGAAACACAGCUGCUGCCGGAAAGCGGCUCAUGGUAUCAUUGGUAUGAAGCUCUGCUGUUUUCAGCAGAAUAUUAGGGGUGGGAACCAGAAUUUCACAGCUGACACGCUUCAUUCCUAACCACCGGCUCCUCCGACGGGGCACUCGGGGUGUGCACGAUUUACUUUGUUUGUGAGGAAGGGGUUCACGGCCCUACAGCAAGUAAGUCGGUGGUCAGACUGUGAUCCCAGCUUCCUUCAGGCCUUACCCUCGGCUCCCCGUGUACUGGGGACAGGUGUCUGAACCACGCCUCCCAGGAACAGUGGAUGAGACCAGAGACCUCCCACCCCACCUCCAGGGGGUCCUCCGGGAGACCAGUUACCACGGUGUCACACAGUGGGGUCACAGCCCACCUGCCAGCAGGGGCAGAGGGGGGCCAGGGGCUGCAGCGCGGGGAGGAGCCUGCCGUCUGGAAGCCCCUCCAGCCCCCACCUCACAGAUCUCCCGUGUCUGGGCCUCUCCACCAGCAGGUGGGAAGGACACAGAUGUGUUCUCAGUGAGAUGCUUCACGCCCAGAGAAAUCCUCUCCAGGGUCUGCUCGGAAACGUCUCUCGCAUGUGCAUACGUGUGUGUGUCCACGGGGAGGGGCAUGUGUCCUGUCCCCAUCUGCUCGUGGAAGACAGCCGUCCAAGUCUUGGGUCUGCUGUAAAUGGUUUCUAUAAACAGCUCAUUACAAAAAAGAGGCUGUCACCUAAACAAUUCACGUUUCUGAAAGAGCUGAUGCAUUUUCCAAUGAGAACGGUUCUCUUUUAAUGUCAAUCCAUUAAAAACCAGGAUUUGUGUCUCUGUGGGUCUGCGCUCAACUGCCCACCUCCCAGACAAACCAGGGGGGAUGGGGCAGAUGCCACCUGCGUUUGGUUUGGAAACGAAGCAGAGGGGACGGACUCUCUCAACGUUACUCAGCAAACCCUCCUGAGGAGGUGGCCAGGCUGAGGCUGGCGGGGACAGGAAGCAGAGGGAUGCUCCACCAGCCUGCAGGACGGCUGGCUCCUUCUCCACCUUGUAAGCACGAGAACCAGCAGCUUCCCAGGAGAGCUGGCCAAGGCGUGUGGGCGACGCAUUUUAAAAACUGUGGGUGUGGUGCUGGUGGUGAAGAACCUGCCUGUCAAGAUGCGAGACACAGGAGACAUGGGUUCCAUCCCUGGAUUGGGACGAUCCCUGGAGAAGGAAAUGACGGCCCCCUCCAGCCUUCUUGCCUGGAGAAUUCCAUGGACAGAGGAGCCUGGUGGGCUUCCAUCAACGGAGUUGCAAAGAGUCAGACACGACAGAGUGAGCACACAUGGUUAAAAAGUGGAAUAAUUCUGUGAUCUGAACACAGACAUACGUUAAAUGUCAGCAUUUAUGAAAAUGUUAAUAUUUGUUUAAAAAUAAGUUAAUGUGCUUUCAACAAGUUACAUUCAAAUGACAACUCCAUAUUCAUGAAGGAGGGAGGUGAGUGUUUUUAUAGGACGAGUGCCUUCUGGACACCUCUCUUGUGGUGAGGAAUCUGCGCAGCUGGGGGGCUUUCACUCCUGAGUAGUGGGGGACAGACCCUAAGGGGCACAGUGCCCACUUCCAUGUGACACUGAGUGAGUGGGGAGGCCUCCAAGAAACGAGAUUGCAGGAGCUAAACACGGCCUCCAGCCAGCAGCCAGGCAGAGGCUGAGUCCUGCAACUGCGAGGCAGUGACUGGCCCCUGUGUGAACCUGGAAACAACCCCUCCCUGCAAGUCAAGCCCCGAGAGGGGAAUGCAGCAACACCUUGGCUCCAGCCUGGGACCCUGAGAGGGGAAGACGCUGAGCUGUGCCCAGCUCCGUGAUCCACCUGGGGAAGGGAUAGCCUACCCACUCCAGUAUUCUUCAGCCUCCCUUGUGGCUCAGCUGGUAAAGAGUCCGCCUGCAAUGCGGGAGACCUGGGUUUGAUCCCUGGGUUGGGAAGAUCCCCUGGAGAAGGGAAAGGAUACUGACUCCAGUAUUCUGGCCUGGAGAAUUCCAUGGACCGUGCAGUCCAUGGGGCCGCAAAGAGGUGGAUGCGACUGAGCGCCUUUCGCUUUCACUUUCUGUGGCCUGUGAGGCAGUGCGUAUGCUGAGCUGGGUGUGCUCUGUCCCCUGGCACAGGACAUGGGCACGCCUCCUGCGGGGCAGGGCCAGCCUCACAGGGGCCAGCUGCAGUGCCCCGGGCAGCCUUCAGGGGUGGGUCCACACAGGAGGAUGCGGUCUGUCCCCAGAAUCCGGGUCUUCGCGAGCCCUCCGGCGGGCCGGGCCCUCUGUGCCAGCUUCCCAGGAUGUGAGAGCCUGGUCUGCUUCUCCUCAGACGUGUUCAUCACUGCGGCAAGGAGUCCCCAGGCUCCUGGUUUGGAGGGAGUGCAGAAGUGGCCGGCGCAUCCCUGGUGAGCAAGGUUAGGGUGAGUUGAGGCCAUGAGAGUGAAGCCCCACGAAGGGAUCGGGGCCCUCAUUAGAAGAGAAAGAGACCCGAGAGCUCUGUCCCUCGGCUGUGUGAGCCCACAGUGAGAAGACGGCCGCCUGCAGGUCAGCAAGGGCCCUCACCAGACACGGGGUCUGCCUGCACCCUGAUUGCAGACUCAGCCUCCAGACUGCAAGGAAUAAACGUGUUCCUUCGGGCCUCCCAGCCUGUGCUCCGUUACAGCGGCCACGCUGACCGAGAUGGGGAUCCCCUGAUUUGCAGCUGCUGUGAGAAUGCCAGGGCACCAGCCCUGAGCUCUGGCGUCAGGAUGUGGGGUGCGCAGGAUGCAGCGUCAGGACUCUGGGGUACGCAGGACAUGGCGUCAGGAUGCAGGGUGUGCAGGACGCUGGGGUGGCAGAGCCUCCCCCUUCUCUGGUUUCCACCACAUCUGUUGUGAAGAGUGGAGGGUGGGGAUGGUGGCAUGGCUGACGUUGGGCACCGCUUAACACCUUCUCUGCCCACUGCAGGUGGCACGUUUGGUCCAGCCAGCUUGUUCCAGGGCAGGCCGAGGCCAGCUUUGAAGGGCAGGCUGCCCCCCUGCACACUGCCACUGGGAUGGAGGUGCUGCUGAGGGAUCCUGAGGGACCUCUGCCAGGAAUGAGGGCGAGUGAGCCUCAUAGCAGGGUGUCGGUCCAGACAAAAUGCAGACUUUCAAGCACUUAUGAUCAACGAGGAGCCUGUUUCUGCCUCUUCGACACCCUGCCAUCCGCCUUUAACUAGCAGUGCCGUGGUCAGAGAUGCCACGGUCAAUGGCUGGAACCCACGGUUUCCCUACACCCACCCGCCUGACCGACUCUUACUGGGCCAUGGCCUUGACCUCUCCCUCAUUUGAAAAAUGAUCGGUUAAAAUGUUCUUUUUUUCCCUUCUCACUGCCUUCCUCACUAAAGAAAUACACAUGAAUUUCCCGCAAUUUGGAAAGCGAGUCACAGUAAGAAAACAGAAUCACCUGCAGAGCCUGCGACGGGCCUGCUUCGAUUUGUGCCCAUUCAGUCUUGUUCUCUGACUUGUGUACGUGUCAAAAGGUGCUCUCAUUGCACGCGCGAUUUUGUGACUCUUCUCCUAACGAUACCCCAUGGACACCCGCAGCAGGACCGUGUGUUCUUCUGCCCCACCGCUUUUGCUGGUUGCCUGGAGUCCGUUGCUCUGAGUCGACUGGUUUAUCAACUACUUCGUCCCCUGCUGUUGGACACUGGGUAUUUCCAGGGCUUGUUUCCAUGCUAUAAGUGACCCUGCAGCAAACACCCCCUUUGGAGGAAUCUCUGAAGACAGCAGAUCUUCCUAAGGAUGGGCCUCUGGAAGCUGUCCGUUCCCCAGAAUCUCUCUCCCUCACUGGCUCCCGUGACCUGCACUCUCAGCCUCUUUGCAUCUGUGCCUGAAACCCUCUCUGUUGGCUCUUUGGCCUCUACUGUCCUUCCUUCAAAACUGACCCUCAGAACACCGUCCUGGCCUUCUCCUCUCAUGUCCAUCGCUGCCUCUGUAUGUAAGUCAUAAACCAGAAUACCAGGGCUCCGUUCAGUGCGGGGUCUCCAGACUGUAGGGAGGACCCCUGCCCCACGCAGUCUGGUUUUGCUCUCGUGUGUGAAGCCUGGCUCCCUGUGGGUUCCUCUGGGCUGGGAGGGGCCACAGAAACACAGGGACAUGGCAGCCAGGAGAGCAGCAUGGAGACUCAAGAAGGUAGAGAGACAGCCUGGCUGACCCUCAGAUUCCAGCCUUCAUCUGAGUCUCUGCUGCGUAAGGCUGAGCCUGCUCCCGGGGAUGAAGGGUGUCCCACGCCCUUGGAGGUACAGGGCUGAGGCCGCCUGAGAGCCACGUGAGAGCUGGUGUAGAAUGAUCUCAGGCACAAGGACCGGUGUCUACAUCUACGUUCUGUGCUGAAAUGAUGUUCCAAGUUUCUAAGGUAAAAGUUUCCCUGAAAGCUGUUGGACUGAACUCCACGAUCCCGCCAGUAAAAAUCUUAAACAAGUC